rnacentral:rRNA from 1 species
GACGACGCUGGCGGCGUGCUUAACACAUGCAAGUCGAGCGGAGAUAUAUGGAAGGUUUACCUGAAAUAUAUCUUAGCGGCGGACGGGUGAGUAACGCGUGGGUAACCUGCCUUGUACAGGGGGAUAACACAGGGAAACUUGUGCUAAUACCGCAUAACACAGUUGGUUGGCAUCAAUUGACUGUCAAAGGAGGAAUCCGGUAUAAGAUGGACCCGCGUCCGAUUAGCUAGUUGGCGGUGUAACGGACCACCAAGGCGACGAUCGGUAGCCGAACUGAGAGGUUGAUCGGCCACAUUGGGACUGAGACACGGCCCAGACUCCUACGGGAGGCAGCAGUGGGGAAUAUUGCGCAAUGGGGGAAACCCUGACGCAGCAACGCCGCGUGAAGGAAGAAGGUUUUCGGAUCGUAAACUUCUUUGAUGAGGGAAGAAUAAUGACGGUACCUCAAAAACAAGCCACGGCUAACUACGUG